rnacentral:lncRNA from 1 species
AGGUGUCAGUCUAUGGUUGGCUUGCCUACGACUCUCUCUUUUAAUGUUGUUUUUUUUUUCCUGCCGUUCUGAGACCAAUUCCAUCCUAUUCGGUGUUCGCGGCAGCGCCAGUUUGCUUCCCGGUGAUCAUGGCAGCGGCGGCGGCGGGGGCAAAGGCCGUGCGGGGCCGUCCAAGCGCGCGACCACGUAGGUCGACUCCGCCAGACCGCCACUCCGGCAGUCCGGCCUCUGUGUCACCGGAAACUUGUCCCGAUAAGUAUACCCCCUCCAUGUCUUGUGAUCUGAACUGCUGUUUGCCUGUUUCUCCCUUACGAUAAGUUACAUCCGUCCACAGCAUUUCAUGAAUUGAAUGGUGUAAGUGGUAAUCUAUGGUGUCUCCAUCGGUGGAGGCGUGGGAGAUCCGAGAUCCGACUGAAGGCUGCAAACACGAAUACCAUUGCUCUCAUCAAUUAUAAAUCACAAAUCGCUAUAUAUUCCAUUUCUGCAAACUGCAACGCUAACAGUUUUUGUUCCAUUCGAUUCUUCAUUUUCUGCUGAGUCUUGUCUUAUUGGUGAUCGGACAAAUUAAUUACACGAUGGGAACAGUGGCCUGUGGAGGACACAUUUGUUAAAUUGUCAUAUUCAAUGCAAGGUAGAGAAUGCGGGUUCCAUUGACAUAAUCACGGAAUGGCACAUCUCAUAGAUAACCCAUUCUGUCGAGCUGCUACCUGUAUAUCGUAUCUUCAAAACAUGACAUGAAAUUUGCACUUGAUAUAUUUGUUGUUUCCGAACAAUAAGAUAGAACCUGAUCUUUCAUGUUUUCUUUCGAAACAUUAAGGAAAAUUAGUGUGCACUGGGCAGUGGGCAGAUAUGCAGUUGGUUCUCCUGUCCAUGAACAAUUACCAUCUCAAGGGAAUUAAGAAGGUAUGGGAUUCAAUAAUAGUUAUUCUUGUCACUCUGUAUUUUCUUUCUUUUGUUGGAGUACUUAUUUCAAACUCCCUCCUCUAUUAAUGCAAGCUGGACAGGGUCCUGCCAGCAAUUUAAAAAAAAAAGAGAGAAGUAAUUCUUGUGUUUAGGUUGCUCUUUUUGAAGUUUUAGAGGAUAGCUGGAUCUAGAUGUGCUAUAUAUUUGUUUUUUAAAAGAUCAUGCACCCGGAAUUUACAGCAUAGUUAAUCAGCUCAAUUGCCAGAAAAGCUGCACGAAUAUGAUGGAUAAGUGCAUCGACGUCUGAACAAAUUUACUCUAUUAAUUGAGGCAUGCUGCCUAGGCAAUGUAGAUUCGUGAUGAGUCCUUGAUAUGUUGUCUUCAAGGGACGUCGAUCUGGACUUCUGGACUCCAGAUGGCCAUACUGCCAGAAGUCCAUGGGUUUGCUAGUGCUUCCUAUUGCAAGUAUAGCUCUUAUGAGAAGCCAACAGUUGUAGCAUUUGUACCUGCUGUAACUGAUGGUUAGAGUUGCAUUAGCUGAACUGGUUAAUUAUCUUAUAUUCUUAACAGCUGUUAUAGCUGUCUAUGUAGGUGUGACAACGAGCUCUAAAUUUUACACGUAAUGAUUGGAUCAGAAUAGAAAUGGGCUCUAAAUUUUACAAUGGGCUCUAAAUUUUAACAGUUGUUAUGCUCUAUUUCUAUUCAUUUUAAACUAAAAUUUAUUUAGGGACCUAACAAUUUAUGAAGCUAAAUUUUAACAGCUGUUAUACUCUUUUUAAAUUAAAAUUUAUUUAGACCUAACAAUUUAUAAAGAAACAUUUGGAUCGUAAUCCAUUACCCUCCUAUGUCUAUGUGUUGCUGCCAAUGAUCAGGAUAUACCACCCAGAUCAAGGCAAACACACGAGCCCUUAUUUGGUAUCAUAAAUAUAGAUACCUUUUUAUAUAUAAAUUUUGGUCGAAUUCAAAAUGGUUUGACUAGAUGCUAUGCUAGAAUUAUAUCCCCUUUGGGAAGAGCUUAUUUAGACUGGAGGAAAACAAUCUCAUAAGUUAAAUCAUUUUUUAUUUUUAAAAGAACAUUUUCCAACAUAGAAAUACUGGAGCUGCCUGCUCAUAAUACCCCCAGCAAUCAAUCGUCAUCAUCCAGAGUCCAGAUCCUAGCCCAUUUCGUUAGUUCCUUAUUUUUCUCUUGUCAGCACAAAGUGAGAGCAACUCGAAGUUCCUGAUAGCGUCAUCAUGUGAAGACCUUCCCAUUUUUGACCAAGAUAAUGAUUUGAUCUCUGUUCCACCUGAAUGAUGUGCCCUUUGGGCACUCAAUGGGCGUAUGCUGCUACUCGGGGCCAAGCCGCCCACGCGGUUUGGGUCGCUUGGAUCUCCAGAAGAGCUUGGUUUGCUUGAUGAAAGCACAGCUCUUCUUGACGUGCUUCCAUUGCGCGAUGAUGACGAUGGCCUUAUUUUAUCCGAAUCAACAGUCUACAGAAAACAAUAUGUAGUGGUAAGAUCCUUCUGAAAUCACUGCAGAAUGAUCAGCUUCUGUACAGAACAGCAAAACAUCUUACCACCUUGGAUGGCAUCAGUGACUCUAGAAGACUUCUGUGCUUGGUGUGUUCUCGAUUGUGACCGGAACCGGAUCUAGUUCUUCUAAACAAAGCUUCAGCUGCAGACAAAAAAAAAUAUGUCAGAGAUGUAGUGUGCCACUUAUUGAUACAAAAACUUAGUAAAUUUCACCGACUUGUUUCCCAGAUCAAAGAUUUACAGACCUGCAGUUCUAUUGGUCCUUUCUGCAGAAGGGCCUGCCAACCCACUAGUCUUGCCGCUAGACUAUUUGCCGAGAACAAAUGCAAAAUGUCAGCAAGUGAAAAUCACAUUUCUUAAUGAAGGGCUGGGUAAAAUGAAUAACAUGCAUGCACACCUGAAAUUUGUUUUUAUCUCUAAACUGAGGAUACUUCAUAAUGGUCCAGUCAAAUACAUAAUCUAGUUGGUACCCUGCAAGUAUCCAAAAUAAGCCACAUCAAAAAUAGAUAGGCCUGCUAAUGGGUUAAAAUCCAUCCCAUACCCAGUCCAACCCAUAACAAAUUAACUAUCUUCAACCCACCCCAUAUUUUUAUAGUUUCAACCCAACCCAACUCAUUCCACCUGAACAGCUAAUUAAACUCGCAGGUUUGUUGUAAAAAAAACCAUGGGUUUACAUAAAAUGUACAUAUAAGAUUGCAUAGAACAUACAGUUUCACAUUAAAAGCUGGACCCUAAAGUUAAAAUCUCAUAAAAUUUUAUCCAAAUUGACUAGGAUUUUUUUGCAGAUGAUUUAAUGCAAUAAGCAGCUACUUCAUGUCUUUUAGCUCUACCAGAUCAAUAUGUGGGCCCCACCUCAAGUCAACAUACUCACUACAAUAUAUGUUAUACUCAAUGACUAAAUCCAUUUCAAACCAAUAUACAUGUACACUACAAUAUAUUAAAAAUCCAAUAUUGCCCCAUGGGUUGAACCCAUUCAAACCCACAAAAUAAAGAACCCAAUCCCACCCCAUGGAACCCAAUUUUCUAUUAACCCCAACCCAGCCUGCUAAGUAAAUCCAACCUAUUCCCACCCAUCCAAAGUACACCCACUUGAGAAGCAAGCACAUUUCAACCCAGUCCAUUAGCAGACCUAAAAAUAGAGGUGCAAGAAAUAUCAAUUAUACAUUUUUAAUGUUUAAUCAUACCCUUGCGGAGAAAUAAGUCACGGAAGAGUCUCUUCAAAUAGGAGUAAUCUGGUUUAUCUUCAAAUCGUAGUGAUCUACAGUAAUGAAAGUAUGCAGUGAACUCUGAUGGAUGCGAUUUACAGAGGACCUGUUUAGAAAUUCGGCAUGUUAUUAUCACAGCAAUACCAUAAUAUGCUAUUUGAACAGGAAAUUAAGUGAUGGGGUCAUGGGGAGUUUGCAUUGCACCUCAACUGGUGUAAGCAUUUUCUUUUCACUGAUUAUAUCAUACUUUUGCUUCUUUGUGCCAGCUUUCAGGCCUUGCCAAGGAAGACUGGGGGAUUCCAAGAUGAAGAAAAAUGUUAUGAUGCACAAGGUUAUAGAAAAUUCUAGUGAAGAGAAAUAAUAUCAUACCUU